UCUCCGCAGAUCUCCAUACUGUACAGGAAGAAUAUUUGAAUUAAGGACAGCACAUUUAUAAAACAUUGAAUAAUUCAAAUAUAUGCAAUUAUGCUUAUAAUAUACAGAAGGUAGUUCUCCUGUCUCAACUCCAGAUGCCUGGUGGGAGAGGACGGAUUGAUCCUGUGACUAAUCUCAAUGUAUGCACUUCAGAUGAGCACAGUUGAUCCCCGCAGAUCUCCAUACUGUACAGGAAGAAUAUUUGAAUUAAGGACAGCACAUUUAUAAAACAUUGAAUAAUUCAAAUAUAUGCAAUUAUGCUUAUAAUAUACAGAAGGUAGUUCUCCUGUCUCAACUCCAGAUGCCUGGUGGGAGAGGACGGAUUGAUCCUGUGACUAAUCUCAAUGUAUGCACUUCA